rnacentral:tRNA from 1 species
AUUUAAAUAAUUUAAAAAAAAAUAUUGAUUUGUGGAGUCAAAAAUAUGAAAAUUCAUUUUAAAUC